rnacentral:rRNA from 1 species
CAGCGUCGCCGCGGUAAUACAGAGGGUGCGAGCGUUAAUCGGAUUUACUGGGCGUAAAGCGUGCGUAGGCGGCUUUUUAAGUCGGAUGUGAAAUCCCUGAGCUUAACUUAGGAAUUGCAUUCGAUACUGGGAAGCUAGAGUAUGGGAGAGGAUGGUAGAAUUCCAGGUGUAGCGGUGAAAUGCGUAGAGAUCUGGAGGAAUACCGAUGGCGAAGGCAGCCAUCUGGCCUAAUACUGACGCUGAGGUACGAAAGCAUGGGGAGCAAACAGGAUUAGAUACCCGGGUAGUCCCUGUCUCUUAUACA